GCGCUGGGGAGCCGGGCGGCCGGGGGCUGCGGGGCGGGGCGGCCCGAGCCUGGGCGGCGGCUCUCUCCCUACGCGCCGCCACCUUUUGGGCGCGGCGGCCGCUGGACUCUCCGUUUCCUGCGGCCUGGCCGGGGCGGGGUCUCCCCGGGAGGCCUCUCGGUGGCUGGCGGGCGGGGGUCGCCGUGUCCUAGCGCAGAGCCCCGGUGGGGGAGGGGGUGCCCGAGGAAAGGAGGAAGUCGCGUUCCUGCUUCUAGACCCUUCUGCCGGACCUGGGCGAAAGGCGCUUUCCUUCCACCAUUCACCCACUUGUAAUAAAGGCUCAUCCGCGAGUGGAGACCCAUCUCCUGGUUUUCUCUACUACGACCGGUUUGGUUUGCUUGUCUGAAGUUGUUUUUUUCCCCCACUUUCCACACCUCGGGUCUGGCUUUGUGUGGGAAGACCCCUUUCCAGCAGUCCUGGGCGUGAAGGAGGGUGUGGGUCCCUGCAUACAUCCCAACGGUCCAUGCUGCGUGCCUUCCUGGAGAUGAAAUGAAAACGAAGCAACCCUGGGGGCCUUUGCAUUCCUGAGACCCUCAGAGAUGGAUUCUGGAGCUUGAUUUCCGAUGUUCUCCGAGGCAUUGAGGAAACAUUUUGCAAAAGCUAAUGGACCUUUGUGUUUGAAAUUUAUAAUCUAUGUCUAAAAUGAUUCAUCAGUUGGAAAAGAUAUCAAACAUUGAGAAUUUAAUAUUUGUACCAUCAAAUUUAUGGUAAAACAUUCCCUCAAAUAAACUGUUAAAAACGA